GGCAGAUCACUUGAGCCCAGGAGUUUGAGACAAGCCUGGGCAAAGUGGUGAUACCCUGUCUCUACAAACAAAACAAAACAAACAAACAAGAAAAACAGAAAUUAACCAGGCAUGUUUUCACACACCUGUAGUUCCAACUACUUGGGUGGCUGAAGUGAGAGGAUCUCUUGAGCCUGAGAGGUGGAGAUUGGAAUGAUCCAUGUUUGUGCUACUGCACUCUAGCCUGACCAACAGAGCAAGACCCUGCCUCCAAAAGAGAGAAAGAGAGAUGUAGAUGGAAUGUAUCAGCAAAUUAAUUGUAAAGGAGGAAACUGAGGUGAAUGAAGUAGCUGCUUAUGAACUAAGUUGAAAGCAGCAAUCAUCUACGAAGACCCUAUUCGGUGCUUUCUCUCCUCUCCACCUUACACCAGAGUGGGGAAAAGAUCCGAGUACCAAUGUCAUGAAUAUAUCAAGUAAUCAGAGCACCAGGGAGAAGAAAACAGCGUUCACAGCUAGAGAAAAUGCAAAGCUUUCAUUCAUGACUCCAGAGAGACCUUUCCUCACUGCUGUGUCUGAAGCAAACUCACAUUCCUGCCAACUUUCUCUAAGGAUAUUACACUGUUUACCUGCCUCUUCAAGAUCCUUAGGCCUUACAUCCCUGGUGCACUAUUCUAACUCCGGUGCCAAACACGUAACAGCACUCAAGAAAUGACUUGUUAAAGGAGUAAAUCUGAAUGUCCUAUUUGAUGUUGGGCCCUUAGAGGACAAGAGUAAUAUUUGUUACUUUGUGCAUCUUUAGUGCCAAGCAAAAUGUUCCACAAAUAUUUGGAGUACACUUAAAUAGUUUCUCAAAUAAAUUAU
rnacentral:lncRNA from 1 species